UUGACGUGAACACCUCCGACUGGCCAGCAGUCAGGACCGGCAGGGGGGGAUUUCGGGAGCCCCAGAAUCCCGGCUCCCUUUUCUAGUCCCUAGAAACUCUCAGGAAUGAUCUUCAGCCUGGGAAGAGGAGGGUACAGAAAUCCAAGAUAAGGAUGGAGCUAGCAGGAAGGAGCUCUGGAUGCUCGCAACCCAACCCAACCCAACCCAACAAACCGAGAUUAAGCAAUGGAUCAAACAGCAAACAUUUAAAAAGUGAUUAGCAUUUGCCAGGAGCAAUUUGCUAAGAACUUGAGGGCUCCAAGAGAAGGUUUUAGUCUCUGCUUCCUGAAAAUUUGAAUUCUAAUGGAAAGACAAGCCCUUUGGAAGGUGGAUAGCAGAACCUACAGGAAUGGAUAGGUGAUGACCUUUUAGAGGAAGACUCAGGCAAAUUAUGGAAGGCCACCUGCACAAGCACUGGGAGUAGAGACAAAAAUGAAACUAUUUCUGCCAUUCAAGAGCUUGCGUUCCAUCAAAGGACUCGGUACAUGUUUGUGGAAAAUGAAUUGAUGAUGAUGAAAAGUGCGCUGAAAGAUGCGGAUUGUGAUCAAGAAGUGAAAGAAAGCAGUGAAAGAAAUACAGGAAGACUUGAAUUCAAAUAAUCCCUCUGACCUAUGUGAUGCUGAACACGUUUCCUUGAAGCUCAGUGCCCCAGGUGGUCUUGAAGAUUAUAAAUGUCAAGAGCUGAUCUGUCUUGAAUAAGGGAGUUUCCUUAUUUGGAAUUCUCUGGACCAACGAAAUCACAGGUUCUGUGUAAAAAACAAAACAACAACAACAACAACAACAACAACAACACACACACACACAC